AUUGAACGCUGGCGGCAGGCCUAACACAUGCAAGUCGAGCGGAUGAAGGGAGCUUGCUCCUGGAUUCAGCGGCGGACGGGUGAGUAAUGCCUAGGAAUCUGCCUGGUAGUGGGGGAUAACGUCCGGAAACGGGCGCUAAUACCGCAUACGUCCUGAGGGAGAAAGUGGGGGAUCUUCGGACCUCACGCUAUCAGAUGAGCCUAGGUCGGAUUAGCUAGUUGGUGGGGUAAAGGCCUACCAAGGCGACGAUCCGUAACUGGUCUGAGAGGAUGAUCAGUCACACUGGAACUGAGACACGGUACAGACUCCUACGGGAGGCAGCAGUGGGGAAUAUUGGACAAUGGGCGAAAGCCUGAUCCAGCCAUGCCGCGUGUGUGAAGAAGGUCUUCGGAUUGUAAAGCACUUUAAGUUGGGAGGAAGGGCAGUAAGUUAAUACCUUGCUGUUUUGACGUUACCAACAGAAUAAGCACCGGCUAACUUCGU
rnacentral:rRNA from 1 species